UACGUAGGGAGCGAGCGUUGUCCGGAUUUACUGGGUGUAAAGGGAGCGUAGACGGCAUGGCAAGUCUGAUGUGAAAACCCGGGGCUCAACCCCGGGACUGCUUUGGAAACUGUAUAGCUAGAGUGCUGGAGAGGCAAGCGGAAUUCCUAGUGUAGCGGUGAAAUGCGUAGAUAUUAGGAAGAACACCAGUGGCGAAGGCGGCUUGCUGGACAGUAACUGACGUUGAGGCUCGAAAGCGUGGGGAGCAA
rnacentral:rRNA from 1 species